rnacentral:rRNA from 1 species
CCUACGGGGCGCAUCAGUGGGGAAUAUUGGACAAUGGGCGAAAGCCUGAUCCAGCCAUGCCGCGUGUGUGAAGAAGGCCUUCGGGUUGUAAAGCACUUUCAGUGGGGAAGAAAGCCUUGGGGCUAAUACCCUCGAGGAAGGACAUCACCCACAGAAGAAGCACCGGCUAACUCCGUGCCAGCAGCCGCGGUAAUACGGAGGGUGCGAGCGUUAAUCGGAAUUACUGGGCGUAAAGCGCGCGUAGGCGGUCUGAUAAGCCGGUUGUGAAAGCCCCGGGCUCAACCUGGGAACGGCAUCCGGAACUGUCAGGCUAGAGUGCAGGAGAGGAAGGUAGAAUUCCCGGUGUAGCGGUGAAAUGCGUAGAGAUCGGGAGGAAUACCAGUGGCGAAGGCGGCCUUCUGGACUGACACUGACGCUGAGGUGCGAAAGCGUGGGUAGCAAACAGGAUUAGAUACCCUAGUAGUC